rnacentral:rRNA from 1 species
AGAAAAUAGAUACCCGGGUAGUCCACGCCGUAAACGAUGGAAGCUAGCCCGUUGGUAAGCAUGCUUAUCAGUGGCGCAGCUAACGCAUUAAGCUUCCCGCCUGGGGAGUACGGUCGCAAGAUUAAAACUCAAAGGAAUUGACGGGGGCCCGGCACAAGCGGUGGAGCAUGUGGUUCAAUUCGACGCAACGCGAAGAACCUUACCAGCCCUUGACAUGUCCAGGACCGGUCGCAGAGACGCGACCUUCUCUUCGGAGCUUGGAACACAGGUGCUGCAUGGCUGUCGUCAGCUCGUGUCGUGAGAUGUUUGGGUUUAAGUUCCCGCAACGAGCGCAACCCUCGUCCUUAGUUGCCAUCAUUUAGUUGGGCACUCUAAGGAGACUGCCGGUGAUAAGCCGCGAGGAAGGUGGGGUAUGACGUCAAGUCCUCAUGGCCCUUACGGGGCUGGGCUACACACGUGCUACAAUGGCGG